UUUUUUUUUUUUUUGUUUUUUUCCGGGGUUCGCGUUGGUUGGUGCUCACGUGUUCCUCAAUUUUCGCGUCUUUGGACCCCUUUUUUGGGUCAAUUUAGCAGUUAAUUCUUGUUAUUUGUAGUAAUUGUGGUGUUGGUUUUAACUGUACAUAUAGUCUAAAAUAACCGUAACGACUGCUUUUCAAUACCGCGAGCAUUGGUCACGUGACUCUGGCCCAGUUAGCCGUGUUAGUCACACACGGCAAAGAGCCAUUCAUCCAAAA